rnacentral:rRNA from 1 species
UGGGGAAUUUUGGACAAUGGGGGAAACCCUGAUCCAGCCAUCCCGCGUGUGCGAUGAAGGCCUUCGGGUUGUAAAGCACUUUUGGCAGGAAAGAAACGUCGUGGGUUAAUACCCCGCGAAACUGACGGUACCUGCAGAAUAAGCACCGGCUAACUACGUGCCAGCAGCCGCGGUAAUACGUAGGGUGCAAGCGUUAAUCGGAAUUACUGGGCGUAAAGCGUGCGCAGGCGGUUCGGAAAGAAAGAUGUGAAAUCCCAGAGCUUAACUUUGGAACUGCAUUUUUAACUACCGGGCUAGAGUGUGUCAGAGGGAGGUGGAAUUCCGCGUGUAGCAGUGAAAUGCGUAGAUAUGCGGAGGAACACCGAUGGCGAAGGCAGCCUCCUGGGAUAACACUGACGCUCAUGCACGAAAGCGUGGGGAGCAAACAGGAUUAGAUACCCUGGUAGUCCACGCCCUAAACGAUGUCAACUAGCUGUUGGGGUCUUCGGACCUUGGUAGCGCAGCUAACGCGUGAAGUUGACCGCCUGGGGAGUACGGUCGCAAGAUUAAAACUCAAAUG